rnacentral:rRNA from 1 species
GGAAACAGAUGCUAAUACCGCAUAACAACUUGGACCGCAUGGUCCGAGCUUGAAAGAUGGCUUCGGCUAUCACUUUUGGAUGGUCCCGCGGCGUAUUAGCUAGAUGGUGGGGUAACGGCUCACCAUGGCAAUGAUACGUAGCCGACCUGAGAGGGUAAUCGGCCACAUUGGGACUGAGACACGGCCCAAACUCCUACGGGAGGCAGCAGUAGGGAAUCUUCCACAAUGGACGAAAGUCUGAUGGAGCAACGCCGCGUGAGUGAAGAAGGGUUUCGGCUCGUAAAACUCUGUUGUUAAAGAAGAACAUAUCUGAGAGUAACUGUUCAGGUAUUGACGGUAUUUAACCAGAAAGCCACGGCUAACUACGUGCCAGCAGCCGCGGUAAUACGUAGGUGGCAAGCGUUGUCCGGAUUUAUUGGGCGUAAAGCGAGCGCAGGCGGUUUUUUAAGUCUGAUGUGAAAGCCUUCGGCUCAACCGAAGAAGUGCAUCGGAAACUGGGAAACU